rnacentral:lncRNA from 1 species
AGGGAGCAGAAACUAAAGCAAGAAAUUUAUUGAUUUAUUUUUUUAUUUAGUAAUAACCUACAGAAAUUGAUUUUGCUUGGGCUGUGUCAGGCACUCAGAACUAUGCCACACACUAUGCACAGGAGUGGAGAUGGAAACGCAUCGUAUUGCGUAGCUACAAGUCUGGGAAUCUAUACUCUUAGUGAGGAAUCAGAAUCACCACACAACUGAAGCCCAGAAUCAUCACAGAGUCAAGGAAUCUAGAAUCAUGAAACGAUCACAGAAUCUGAAAUAACAGAACUUAUAAUCACAGGAGCUGGUAUCCUCAUAGCAUCCUCAUAGAAUCCUCCAAUAAUCAAUUCAUAGAAUCCUCAGACUCUAGAAUCCUAGACUCUAGUAACCCCAUAAUAACCCCACAGUACUGAAUCACCACAUUUUGUUUCCUCACUCCCACAGAGGGAAACUUUCUGUGGAGCAUGCUCACAAUUGACAGUAUCAGUCAGCAUCACCCAGCACUCCUUAUGGAACAGGUUACCUAGAAUAUCAAAGCACUGCCAGUUACAAGUGCUCAGAGGUUCUUCCUCAAAAGAUGAAUUGUUAAUACUAUCUUUCAUUCUAAUUUGGAUACGGGAAGGGAACCGAGGUCUAGAAUCUUUAUGAACAGAAUCCAACACCACUGUGCUCUUCACAAAACCUUUCCCCUUUGCCACAACACAGGGGAAUGGGGAAAGUGAACCUUCAUCCUGGUUUUCCACUACCCCUCAGGUCAGUCCCUGGGGACAGUUGGGACCCUUCUGGAGACGCCAGGAGCCCCCAGGACCCUCAUCAGGCCCCGGGCAUUUUGGUGCCACAAGCCCACUAGCACCCAGGGUGUAUCCCCUGGUGUCCCACAGGACGUGACAGCCCAGGCAGGAUGCAGCGUGACAGACCCAUGUGGCUCCGUGGUGUGAGAUUCGUAUGUACUUCUCCCUGUCCCUGGCUGAAGUUCUCAGAGGGGUACACAGAGGUAGGAGAGAGCUAAGGACAAGGCCAAGGGGCACUUAGGGUGACAGGACAUAGCCACAGCUUGGGGACAGUGGCCAGAUGCUGGAGACAUUCAUAUGGCAGGAAGGGACGCAAAGGACACAACCACAGCCCAAAGACAUGGGGGGCAACAAAAGGGACCUUGCUCAGACCACUGGGACCACAGUGCCGUGGGUGAACACACUGCCACCCACCUAGUGAAAGCUGUGUCCUUGCUGCAGCUAUGUCUCCAAAGGGCUUUAGUCAGUGCCAGAACCCACAGAUCCCCUAUACAGGGCAAAACUACAGAAUUCUGCAUCAAUCAAUCGUCAGGAGCUUCCAUUCACUGACAACGUCACUGUGAGGCCAAGGUCCCCACAGGCCAGGUGACACAGGGACAUCGCUGGGACACUGAGCGAUCAGCGGCAGUGCUGUUGAUGGCAGCAUCAGCUCAAGGGGACACAGCACUGGCAAUGCAGUGACAAUGAGAAUGUCAUCAGUGACAACCACAACCCUCGAGUCCAUUGGACACAGUGCUGAAGGUCAGUGUCAGUGACACUGCAACAACAACGCCAGGAGCUCCCCACAGCUGCCAGCACUGCCCCCCCCCCCCCCCCCCACAGACAUUCCCACUCUCACAGCUCCCCACGGAUGUCAGGCAGCAGGUGACAGGCGGUGAUGGUGGCUACGGUGGCAGCCACAGCGCGCAGGUCACGGCGCACCAGGCACAGGCAGUGCGCGGUCGCAGCUGCCCCAGCUUGGGCGCGGCCCAGGGGCCCCCCCAGACCUUCCAGCAGCCGCGCAGCCCCACUGAAACUGCGUCCCAGUGCCUCAGCCAUUGCGCCCCGCAGUCGCCCCUCGCCCGCCCCCAGCCUCUGCUGCAGCAGUGAGGGGCCCCCCCUGGACACCCCUGGCAGCGGCAUCCGGGCCGCACUGUCCUCUUCCUCCUCCUCCUCGGUCUCCGACGCCUCCCCCGGAACCUUCAGCCCCACUGCGGGAGUCCCGGCUGUGUUCCCCCCCGGCUCCGGCUCUGAGUCGCUCUCCGAGGCCUCGCCCAGCACCAGCGUGGGGGAAAGAGGGACGGCCAUGGUCUGCGAGAGGGGAAUAAAAGGGAGGAGGGGGAGUCGGGGGGAAAACGGCCCCACCAGGCACGGAGACCCCCGGCUCUUUCUCCCGAGUCUCAGAGGAAUACUGCGCACAACAGGCCCGUGCCCCCUCAGCCUCGUGAGACCCCCACUUCCUCACUCCCUUCCCAGCCCCGUGGGGUCCCCAGA